GCUUUCGUGGUGUAGCGGUAGUACACUCGGCGCGUAAUCGAGAGGUCCAGGUUCGAGUCCCGCCGAGGGUA
rnacentral:tRNA from 1 species